rnacentral:rRNA from 1 species
UGGGGAAUCUUGGACAAUGGGGGAAACCCUGAUCCAGCCAUGCCGCGUGAUCGAGAAGGCUCUAGGGUUGUAAAGAUCUUUCACCGGUGAAGAUAAUGACGGUAGCCGGAGAAGAAGCCCCGGCUAACUCCGUGCCAGCAGCCGCGGUAAUACGGAGGGGGCUAGCGUUGUUCGGAAUUACUGGGCGUAAAGCGCACGUAGGCGGAUUGGUAAGUCGGCGGUGAAAGCCCGGGGCUCAACCCCGGAACUGCCCUCGAUACUGCCAGUCUGGAGGCCGGGAGAGGCGAGUGGAAUUCCGAGUGUAGAGGUGGAAUUCGUAGAUAUUCGGAGGAACACCAGAGGCGAAGGCGGCUCGCUGGCCCGGUUCUGACGCUGCAGUGCGAAAGCGUGGGUAGCAAACAGG